UACGUAGGGUGCGAGCGUUGUCCGGAUUUAUUGGGCGUAAAGGGCUCGUAGGUGGUUGAUCGCGUCGGAAGUGUAAUCUUGGGGCUUAACCCUGAGCGUGCUUUCGAUACGGGUUGACUUGAGGAAGGUAGGGGAGAAUGGAAUUCCUGGUGGAGCGGUGGAAUGCGCAGAUAUCAGGAGGAACACCAGUGGCGAAGGCGGUUCUCUGGGCCUUUCCUGACGCUGAGGAGCGAAAGCGUGGGGAGCGAACAGGCUUAGAUACCCUGUCC
rnacentral:rRNA from 1 species